UACGUAGGUAGCAAGCGUUGUCCGGAAUUAUUGGGCGUAAAGCGCGCGCAGGUGGUUCCUUAAGUCUGAUGUGAAAGCCCACGGCUCAACCGUGGAGGGUCAUUGGAAACUGGGGAACUUGAGUGCAGAAGAGGAAAGUGGAAUUCCAAGUGUAGCGGUGAAAUGCGUAGAGAUUUGGAGGAACACCAGUGGCGAAGGCGACUUUCUGGUCUGUAACUGACACUGAGGCGCGAAAGCGUGGGGAGCAAACAGG
rnacentral:rRNA from 1 species